rnacentral:rRNA from 1 species
GAUGAACGCUGGCGGCGUGCCUAAUACAUGCAAGUCGAGCGAACAGAUAAGGAGCUUGCUCCUUUGACGUUAGCGGCGGACGGGUGAGUAACACGUGGGUAACCUACCUAUAAGACUGGGAUAACUUCGGGAAACCGGAGCUAAUACCGGAUAACAUUUGGAACCGCAUGGUUCUAAAGUGAAAGAUGGUUUUGCUAUCACUUAUAGAUGGACCCGCGCCGUAUUGGCUAGUUGGUAAGGUAACGGCUUACCAAGGCAACGAUACGUAGCCGACCUGAGAGGGUGAUCGGCCACACUGGAACUGAGACACGGUCCAGACUCCUACGGGAGGCAGCAGUAGGGAAUCUUCCGCAAUGGGCGAUAGCCUGACGGAGCAACGCCGCGUGAGUGAUGAAGGGUUUCGGCUCGUAAAACUCUGUUAUUAGGGAAGAACAAACGUGUAAGUAACUGUGCACGUCUUGACGGUACCUAAUCAGAAAGCCACGGCUAACUACGUG